CUUCCUGUUUACCGAACACUUGUCUGAUUUUACACAUGAUAGCCAAGUUGAAAAUUUUCGUCACAUUUUUCUCAGGAACUACAAUACAAGGAUUUCUGAAAUUUGGUUUCAGGAUUUAUAUAAGUCAGCUAUACCGUGUGAUGCGUUUUCAGAUUCAUCACUCGACAACUUCCUGUUUACCGAACACUUGUAUGAUUUUACACAUGAUAGCCAAGUUGAAAAUUUUCGUCACAUUUUUCUCAGGAACUACAAUACAAGGAUUUCUGAAAUUUGGUUUCAGGAUUUAUAUAAGUCAGCUAUACCGUGUGAUGCGUUUUCAGAUUCAUCACUCGACUACUUCCUGUUUACCGAACACUUGUAUGAUUUUACACAUAAUAACCAAGUUAAAAAUUUUCGUCACAUUUUUCUCAGGAACUACAAUACAAGGAUUUCUGAAAUUUGGUUUCAGGAUUUUUAUAAGUCAGCUAUACUGUGUGAUGCGUUUUCAGAUUCAUCACUCGACAACUUCCUGUUUACCGAACACUUGCAUAUUUUUACACUAUUAAUAUUAUCCACUUGCGGCAGGGGUAUCAUCAGUGAGCAGUAGCUCGCAGUUUCACUUGUUGUAAAUUGUUU
rnacentral:lncRNA from 1 species